rnacentral:rRNA from 1 species
CCAGACUCCUACGGGAGGCAGCAGUGAGGAAUAUUGGUCAAUGGGCGGAAGCCUGAACCAGCCAAGUCGCGUGAGGGAAUAAGGCCCUACGGGUCGUAAACCUCUUUUGUCAGGGAACAAAGGCGGGGACUAGUCCCCGGAUGAGGGUACCUGAAGAAAAAGCAUCGGCUAACUCCGUGCCAGCAGCCGCGGUAAUACGGAGGAUGCGAGCGUUAUCCGGAUUUAUUGGGUUUAAAGGGUGCGCAGGCGGCCUGUUAAGUCAGCGGUAAAUGCCGGGGGCCCACCCCCGGCGAGCCGUUGAAACUGGCGGGCUGGAGUUGGAGAGAAGUACGCGGAAUGCGCGGUGUAGCGGUGAAAUGCUUAGAUAUCGCGCAGAACCCCGAUUGCGAAGGCAGCGUACCGGCUCCACACUGACGCUGAGGCACGAAAGCGUGGGUAUCGAACAGGAUUAGAUACCCCUGUAC